CGGGGCUCAACCCCGAACAACACAUCGCCUCGAUAACACCUCGAUAACUUGUAGUGAGAGUCACUCGGCGGUUUGUAUAACACACCGGAGCGACAUAAAGACACCGUUAAAGUAGACCAGCAAGUAGUGCAGGCUGCUGUAGACACGGGACGUGGAAGGGAGGCAGCGGGAGCAGCAACACGGGAGCAGCAACACUGGAGCAGCAACGCUGGAGCGCAACACGGAACAAGAAGAAGAAGCGUGGCACAGAAAAUGGUUGUUACAUUGUUACGACGCGACCACUGAUUCGAUACACUGUUAUUAUUUACACUGUUUUUUUGGUUUGUUUUUUAUAAAACUGUUACAAAAGUAUCCGAUACGCGCAGCUGCUUUAUGAACAGUCUCCAGAUCAAGUUAACAACGAGACGUUAUCUUACAAACACAGAUGCAUUUGGAGGAGCCUAUUCAUUGUGAUUGUCGUGUUGCUGUAAUAUUUUCGACGUGUUUUUUGGGGGGUUGGUUGGUUGGUUAUUUAUUCGUGAGAGCUGUGGGUUUAUGAUCGUGUCGUUAUUGUGUAACUAAACAAGGUGUGUGUGAAACAGCCAGUCCUGUUUCCACUGGGUUUCUCCUCCAUUUGUCUCCGCUGCAUGUGGCCCGCUCAGCCCCCGCUCCCAGCAGUAAAAUGGGGGAAGGGUUGAGGAGGGGGGAUCUACACUAAUGAAUGAAACCAAAACCUCGUGAGUUACAACAAUCCACGCCGAAUGGCAGACGGAUCAUGAAGACAGACAUUUAUAGAAACAUACGGGUUAAAUGACUUAUGGUUGUAUAGCUUGUCUUUACGCCCGACCCUUUAAAUAUUGUUGUUGUUGUACAGGUUAGGUUUUCUUUACGCCUGGUUUUAAAAGUAGCGAGGAUCAUUAAAAAUGCUAAAAUAUAUUUUUUAAACAAUUCAAAUAAAUACACCAUGAAAAUA